AUGGAAGCACCUCAAUGCUGGAACGGCCACCUCCUCCUCACCUCCCUCGACGAGCAGGGCACAAGAAUGGUGCGCUGGCCCCUGUACCCUACGAGAAAUACGACCAUCCUCCCACCAGUCCCCACCUUCUUCGAUCUCGAUGACGGCUUCGUAGGCUACUGGGAUCAUGACAUCUUCCCCAACGGUGGCGACAAUGCCCUGUCUUUCUUCUGUUUGGCAUUAGGUUGGAAGGAGCAACAGACAAUUGUGCAUCUAUAUGUGUUACAAGACGAUAUCUGUGCCAUCCACACUUCGGUAGUAAUUGAAAUCCCGAAGGUCGAAUUGAUAACCGCCAGUUUGAUCGCUGACAUGAAGAUCUACAAUCUGGUCAGUGUGGGCGAGAUUGCUAAGUUAUUCGUGCUAGAUCUUGUGUCUUCAUCUUUCUCACUAGUUAACCUACCUGAAGCUGAAGAUGGUUGGACAAUGGGUCUGAAGCUCACGCACGGUACUGGGGUUCAUCUGACCCAUGUAAAGGACUGUCAGCUUCGCAUCUAG
rnacentral:rRNA from 1 species